rnacentral:rRNA from 1 species
CUGCAACCCGACUACAUGAAGCCGGAAUCGCUAGUAAUCGCGGAUCAGAAUGCCGCGGUGAAUACGUUCCCGGGUCUUGUACACACCGCCCGUCACACCAUGGGAGUCGGAAAUGCCCGAAGUCUGUGACCCAACCGCAAGGAGGGAGCAGCCGAAGGCAGGUCGGAUGACUGGGGUGAAGUCGUAACAAGGUACC